GACGAACGCUGGCGGCGUGCCUAAUACAUGCAAGUAGAACGCACAGUUUAUACCGUAGCUUGCUACACCAUAGACUGUGAGUUGCGAACGGGUGAGUAACGCGUAGGUAACCUGCCUGGUAGCGGGGGAUAACUAUUGGAAACGAUAGCUAAUACCGCAUAAUAUUGAUUAUUGCAUGAUAAUUAAUUGAAAGGUGCAAUUGCACCACUACCAGAUGGACCUGCGUUGUAUUAGCUAGUAGGUGAGGUAACGGCUCACCUAGGCGACGAUACAUAGCCGACCUGAGAGGGUGCUCGGCCACACUGGGACUGAGACACGGCCCAGACUCCUACGGGAGGCAGCAGUAGGGAAUCUUCGGCAAUGGACGAAAGUCUGACCGAGCAACGCCGCGUGAGUGAAGAAGGUUUUCGGAUCGUAAAGCGCUGUUGUAAGAGAAGAACGGGUGUGAGAGUGGAAAGUUCACACUGUGACGGUAUCUUACCAGAAAGGGACGGCUAACUACG
rnacentral:rRNA from 1 species